rnacentral:lncRNA from 1 species
GACCAACUGCCUCUUCUGCUCGUCACAAUGUCAGUUCAUUCAGCUCUCGUCAAAGAUCAAGCCGGAUGCGGAGAUGUAUUUCCUGGAGCCGGGCGAGCUGCUCAAGAGGCAGCACAGCCAAACGCUCAAGCUGCUCGAGUUCCAAAAGAGCCACCGCGUGCGUCUGGUCGCCUUCCACCGCAAAGUGCUGUCACGGUACAACGAGCAGGAGAAGAACUUCAAGGCAGCGAUAAGCCGAGUACAGGAGCAG